AUAUUCCUACGGGAGGCAGCAGUGGGGAAUAUUGCACAAUGGGGGGAACCCUGAUGCAGCGACGCCGCGUGGGUGAAGGAGUACUUCGGUACGUAAAGCCCUAUCAGCAGGAAAGAAAAUGACGGUACCUGACUAAGAAGCCCCGGCUAACUACGUGCCAGCAGCCGCGGUAAUACGUAGGGGGCAAGCGUUAUCCGGAUUUACUGGGUGUAAAGGGUGCGUAGGCGGUCGGAUAAGUUAGAGGUGAAAUCCCGAGGCUCAACUUCGGAAUUGCCUCUGAUACUGUUCGGCUAGAGAGGAGUUGG
rnacentral:rRNA from 1 species